GACGAACGCUGGCGGCGUGCCUAAUACAUGCAAGCCGAACGAACUCUGGUAUUGAUUGGUGCUUGCAUCAUGAUUUACAUUUGAGUGAGUGGCGAACUGGUGAGUAACACGUGGGAAACCUGCCCAGAAGCGGGGGGAUAACACCUGGAAACAGGAUGCUAAUACCGCAUAACAACUUGGACCGCAUGGUCCGAGUUUGAAAGAUGGCUUCGGCUGUCACUUUUGG
rnacentral:rRNA from 1 species